rnacentral:pre_miRNA from 12 species
UCAAAGCAGUUCCAAAGUGCUCAUAGUGCAGGUAGUUGUAUUCAUGUUCUACUGUAAUAUGGGCACUUACAGUACUGCUGGAU